rnacentral:tRNA from 1 species
GGGGAUUUAGCUCAGUGGCAUAAGCACCUGCCUGGCAAGCAUGGUGAGGUUGAGUUCAAUCCCCG